UGCCUCCUCUCCCAGUUCAGCCCAGUGCUCCAUACUGGGUGUGCAUGCAGGCUGAGGAGGCAGAUCAGAGCAGCGAUGUUGCCCAUUCCACCCUGAGCUGCAGCGUAGCUCUGAGGUGGAAGAGAUCCCUGCUACAGAG
ensembl:snoRNA